CGUGCUGCACGUGUAGAAUUGCAGGAGAGCAUUUCAAAAAUGCAAGCCGAGUAUGACAACAAGUUGGAAAAUUUACGAGCCAAAUAUGAUAACAAGUUGGAAAAUUUACAACAACAAGUGGCUAUGCUAAUGUAGAUGCAACAACAAAAUUGUAGUGGACAGGGUUCUGAUUCUUUAAAUGCUCCUCCUAGAGUAUCCCCAAAUUCAUUUUAUAGUCGUGAUGCCAAUUCAAUUAAGGUUAUGAACUUUUAAUUUCUCUUAUAUAUAUGUUAAAUUUUCAUUUAUUAUAAUGUGUGCGUAAUGAAUUUAUAAAAAAUGUAGGGUAAUUCAAAUCAAAUGGGCAACAAGACUUGUUGAAGUUGAAGAUGGGGUUGUGGCUGUGCUUUUUGAAUUUCCUUCGCUUUGGAUGGGUUCUUUUUGAAAAACUUGUACUACAUUUGUCAAAAAUUCUUAAUUCUUUUUGUCUUGACAUUUAGUAGCUUUAUUUAGACAAUUUGGGUGGUAUAUUGGCAGGUUAACUUGUGGUUGUAUUAGUAUACAUUUUUGCUUUUUGGUUUACAUUUAUCAGCUUAACUUGUGGUUGUAUUAGUAGCCAAUUUCGAUGGUAAUUUUCAUAUUGGCAUGGUUAA